rnacentral:lncRNA from 1 species
CCAAAGCAGUUGUGCAACUUUUCAUAUCGACUGCCUGAGUGAUUAAAGAAUUUGAAAGCAAUUCAUCUAAAAGGGACUCCCCUUGAGAGUAAGCCGCCUGAGGUUGGGAAUGAAGGUGGCUCUGCAAUUUCUAAGAGGAGGCCCAGGGGGCAGAGAUGUUACUGGAAAAGGAGCAAUCAGAGGCCAUACCAGGGGCCUGGGGUGGAAAUGUUAGUGGCAUAAUAAACACAAUAUUUAUCCUUAGAUGACGUCCUAGGGGAAAAUUACAAAGAUUUUUUUUUUCUGAGAAUAAUUUUGAUAAGACUGAGAAAAAUCCCAACCACCCAUAUUACAGAUUCAGACGGCAAGGCUGCUGAGCAGAGCAUGUUCCAGGAGGUAGCAACUGGAGGAGCAAGAGCCUGGCCGAGCCUAUCAGACAAUCUUUGAUGCCUGAUGCCGGAGAGGAAAACAGAGACUGAUUCAUCUUGACACCCUGGCUCUUAGCAGAGUCAUCAGCGCAGCCCAGAGAUCUACGUAUCUUGUGAGCCAGUGCCCAGGAUGACCCGUUGGAAGAGUGUGGCUGGGCGGUUGCCAAAUCUCAACAGACAAAGCAGCACACAAUGUGAUAGCUCAUCCAGAUGAUUUAGGUCAGAAUCUCCCCACGACCCUGGAAUCUCAAAAAAAAAAAAAAAAAAAAAAAAAAAAANCGCACUGGCUCAGGACUUUACAGUUAGCUUCCCUGAGGUUGGACCACCAAGACACAAGUGCUGAGCAAGGCAAGGAAGAAGUUUCUCUUGAAUUCGAUUGGGCUGAGAUAAGUCACAAGAGGGAUGGGGAUGGUGCCGAGAGGGAGGCACUGACUACACAAACAGAGAAAAUGAAGACAAGAUCCAGCCCAUACUUUCAUUUCACAUGGUAGCAGGCUGAGGCUGGAAGGGGAAAGACAACUCGCUCACUGAGUCAGAGCCUGUAAAGUCAUCUUCAGGUCAGAUUCCUUGGCUCUCAUACUCCA